rnacentral:rRNA from 1 species
AGAGUUUGAUCAUGGCUCAGGACGAACGCUUGCGGCGUGCCUGAGAAAUGCAAGUCGAGCGGGGUGUAGCAAUACACCUAGCGGCGAACGGUCGAGUAACACGUAAGCAACCUGCCCUGCAGUGGGGGAUAACAGCGGGAAACCGCUGCUAAUACCGCAUAGGCAUAUUCCUGGGCAUCCAGGGGUGUGUAAAGGCUAGACUGCUGCAGGAGGGGCUUGCGGCCUAUUAGCUAGUCGGUGGGGUAACGGCCUACCGAGGCGACGAUGGGUAGCUGGUCUGAGAGGAUGGUCAGCCGGAUCGGGACUGAGACACGGCCCGGACUCCUACGGGGGGCAGCAAUCAGGAAUAUUGCGCAAUGGGGGAAACCCUGACGCAGCGACGCCGCGUGCGGGAUGAAGGCCUUCGGGUCGUAAACCGCUGUUGUGGGAGAAGAAGGCCUGCCGACGAGGCAGGGGAGACGGUAUCUCACGAGAAAGCCCCGGCUAACUACGUGCCAGCAGCCGCGGUAAUACGUAGGGGGCGAGCGUUGUCCGAAGUUACUGGGCGUAAAGCGCGCGUAGGCGGCUCUUUAAGUGAUUGGUGAAAUCCCCGGGCUCAACCCGGGGUGGUCUGGUCAUACUGGGGAGCUAGAGUAUGGGAGGGGAGAGCGGAACUCCUGGUGUAGCGGUGAUAUGCGUAGAGAUCAGGAAGAACACCCGUGGCGAAGGCGGCUCUCUGGACCAUAACUGACGCUGAGGUGCGAAAGCCAGGGUAGCGAACGGGAUUAGAUACCCCGGUAGUCCUGGCCCUAAACGAUGGAUACUAGGUGUGGCGGGUAUCGACCCCUGCCGCGCCGCAGCUAACGCAAUAAGUAUCCCGCCUGGGGAGUACGGCCGCAAGGUUGAAACUCAAAUGAAUUGACGG